CAAGAUGUAGCUUAAGCAAAGCAUCUGGCCUACGCCCAGAAGAUUUCACAUCAAACUGACCAUCUUGA
rnacentral:tRNA from 1 species